rnacentral:rRNA from 1 species
UUUAUUCAAAACAUGGCCCUUUGUUUUAAGAAAGAGGGUCUAGCCUGCCCGGUGGGUAUUGCUUAACGGUCGCAGCUGUCACUGUGCUAAGGUAGCAUAAUAGGUCGUCCUUUAAUUGGGGAAAAGUAUGAAUGGCUGGAUGAUGGAAGGUCUUUAUUAGGGAUAUUUUUUGAAUUUUUCUUUUAAGUGCAAAGGCUUAGAUAAGUUUACUAGACGAGAAGACCCUGUUGAGCUUGAUAAUUUCUGAAUAAAGUUUGUUUGGACAUAAGUUUUUUCGGGGUCGAAAGGAAGGGAAAAGAUACCUUCUAUUUAUUUAUAAGGAUCCAAUAUGAUUGAGAAGAAGAAGAUAGUUACCACAGGGAUAACAGCGCAAUUUUCCUGUUAAGGUCAUAUUUAAGGGAAAGUUUGCGACCUCGAUGUUGAAUCAAAAUUCCUACUAGGUGUAGCAGCUUGGUAAGUAGGACUGUUCGUCCUUUAAAAUUUUACGUGAUCUG